AAAUCCUCCGACUUUAUAAAUGAAAUGAGGGUCGGGUUCUCCYYCCUCCCC
rnacentral:tRNA from 1 species